AUAGCUCGCCGGCUCCUCUAUCUAUUUUGUGUCCAGCCGGGAGCCGCGCUCGAUGAUUCAUUGCCCCAAUUAGGGGCUCUCUCCUGCGCGCCAGGCUCGAGCCGUCUGAAGGGUCUCCUCAGGGACCCGCGGAAACCCAUCAGCCGCUGGAGCUGGUCUUUAAGUAAAGGUCAAGCAGGACGCGGGAGGAGCCAGGCCAGGUACCUCUCCUGCACUGGCCUAAUGGCACUCGUGGAGAGUUCCCGUUCCAGGAUGGGCACUGCCUGCCCCUGACGGAAUCUUAGGAGCCUGGGAUGGAGCUGGGCCAUGUGGGGGCUUGUCAGUACAGGAUUUCUGUGAAGGGGAAUGAGAUACUACGUGGAAGGACUGAGCCCAGGGCUGGGCUCACAAUCCCCAGACUGAAAGCUGGAGAUGCUUGGGGGUUCUGUCCACUUAUUCACAGAUGUGGCUCUCUCCCCCAUGCCUGGAACACUGCCUGGCACACAGUAGGUGCUCAACAAACAGUCUUCAAUUCAUGAAAGGCUAGAUUUAUGUCAUGAUCUCCCCAGCUCCCCAGAGAAAGAGAUCAAGAGAGGUUAAGGAAACUGCCCGAGGUCAGCCACCAGGCUAGCAGACUUCCGAGCCCUCGGGGCCAGCUUUUUUCCUAGAAUCUUCUUGAGGCCAGCACUGUGCCUACACUGAGGAGAAGGAUCCACAGAGCCCUCACAGAAGGUGAAGACCGAUGUCCUUGCUUCCAGGCCCUCCUGACCAGCUGGGUGAUCUUGAAUGGGUCACGACCCCUCCCUAAGUCUGGGUGUUUCACCGGUAAUGUGGCAAUAACAGCACUUGCCUCUCUGGACACUGAUGGCUGAACGAGACGCCCAGUGUGCUGGCCCCGCACAGGCUGGCACACAGUAGCUGCUCAGUUAACAGCAGCACUCCACUCCCUUGACUGUUCAGUGGCCACCAAGGUGACCCGAUCCACAGGCUAGGGAGGUAGUCGAUUUCUCUGGCAGUGGAAAACAAGCCCUCGGAAGCCCUUUCCUCCUUGCAGCCUGCCUGAGGGCCAGGGGAGACCCAUAGCUGAGUGGUGUCAGCUCUCAGGGGGAAGGACACUUUCUAGGUGAGGUCACGGAGCUCAAAAUCAUGCAUCCAGACUUCCAGCCAGCUCUGUCUUGUUUCCCCCGUGGCGUAUCGCUGUGGUCCGCAGGAAGGCAGCAGGGUUCAGGAGGAUUUUGUAGGUGGAUGGAAACAUCCUGAUCUGUCCUUGGCUCUGCAGUAACAAGGAUCCCAGGGGCAGCUCAGUUUCCCAGCCUGGCCGGGUGUGGAUGGGCAGAGUGGGGACAAGGUGCUCCAGGUGCAGGGACAGAGGGACCAAAGAGACUAGGGGGCUCAGAGAAAGGAUCCUCCAGCCACCCCAGGGCAGGAAUCAGGUCCCUGACACCCAGCUGCAGCCCAGGCCCCGCCCCAACCCCUUGCAAUCUGGGGCCGACUGGAUCCAGGCCGCGGGGAACACAUCCUGGCCUCAGGAGUCAAUGACAGGAAGUGCGAUGUGACCUUGGCUGGGUUUGGAGGCUGCCUCGGGCCAGGCUGUGCCUCUGGGUACUGUGGCCUCGAACUGCAGAGCCUUCUGGAGAGGUGGCAGGCCAUAGUCAGGGUGGGAGGCUCCUUGCCCCUGGCUGGGCUGGGCAGCAGGGUGUCCUCCCUUCCAACACUGUCCUCCCUGGCCCCCUGACACCAAUUUACUGAGCGCCCUCUGUCUGCUCAGCACUGGGUGGACACUAUUUGUAUAAAUAAAAUUCUGUUUUGGCCUGUGUGUCUCUGCCUCAGCCAAAGGCUGGUUAGAGGCCAAGAGUGACAAGAUCUAGCUGUCACGGGAGGGGACGGGGGAGGGGGGGUCGAGGGUGACCUUUGACAGCUCACCCCCAACGUCUCCAGUGGAGGGGAUCAUGCCCCAGCCCGUGGGAGGUGGAAGUGCGGCUGACAAGGAGCAGGACACGGCCUCCACGAAGGUCCCUGACAUCGCAGAUGACAUUUCUGUUGAAUGGAGGCGACCACGGCCAGCUGGGGGUCACGAGCUGGCAGCCACCACCACCGGGUCAGGGGAGGCUAGGAGGUGACCCACACCCAGAGCCAGGAGGCUGGUGGACGGGCUGCAAAGGCCCCCUCAGCCCAGUAAGCAGAGAGCAUCCACUUCCUGUGAGACUCUCUCCCCAAGGCCCCAGAGCAAACUCCCCUCCCGCCGCCCCUGGGCCUGACCCUGGCCAAGCAGCACGGGGCUCUCUGGGGAGGGUUUUCACAAAGACCCGUCCAGGCCC